GGAGUUGGUGGUGGACUGUACCCAGGGCAGGUACAAGGAGGUUUUGGAGCUGGGUCCAAGGCUGCCAAAUAUGGAGUCGUCCCCGGAGUUCUGCCAGGAGGUGCACCGAUUGCAGUUCCAGGAGGAGGAGCACAGUUACCAGGAGGAUAUUAUCAAGCAGCCAAAGCUGCUAA